UCACCUACGGGGGGCAGCAGUGAGGAAUAUUGGUCAAUGGUCGGGAGACUGAACCAGCCAAGCCGCGUGAGGGAGGAAGGUACAGAGUAUCGUAAACCUCUUUUGUCAGGGAACAAAGACUGGGACGCGUCCCCGGAUGAGUGUACCUGAAGAAAAAGCAUCGGCUAACUCCGUGCCAGCAGCCGCGGUAAUACGUAGGGGGCAAGCGUUAUCCGGAUUUACUGGGUGUAAAGGGAGCGUAGGUGGCAGGGCAAGUCAGAUGUGAAAACCCGGGGCUCAACUCCGGGAGUGCAUUUGAAACUGUC
rnacentral:rRNA from 1 species